rnacentral:rRNA from 1 species
GGCAACGGCCAUACCACGUUGAAAGCACUGGUUCUCGUCCGAUCACCGAAGUUAAGCAACGUUGGGCGCGGUCAGUACUUGGAAGGGUGACCGCUUGGGAACACCGCGUGCCGUUGGCA